rnacentral:rRNA from 1 species
GAUGAACGCUGGCGGCGUGCCUAAUACAUGCAAGUCGAGCGAACAGACGAGGAGCUUGCUCCUCUGACGUUAGCGGCGGACGGGUGAGUGACACGUGGAUAACCUUCCUAUAAGACUGGGAUAACUUCGGGAAACCGGAGCUAAUACCGGAUAAUAUAUUGAACCGCAUGGUUCAAUAGUGAAAGACGGUUUUGCUGUCACUUAUAGAUGGAUCCGCGCCGCAUUAGCUAGUUGGUAAGGUAACGGCUUACCAAGGCGACGAUGCGUAGCCGACCUGAGAGGGUGAUCGGCCACACUGGAACUGAGACACGGUCCAGACUCCUACGGGAGGCAGCAGUAGGGAAUCUUCCGCAAUGGGCGAAAGCCUGACGGAGCAACGCCGCGUGAGUGAUGAAGGUCUUCGGAUCGUAAAACUCUGUUAUUAGGGAAGAACAAAUGUGUAAGUAACUAUGCACGUCUUGACGGUACCUAAUCAGAAAGCCACGGCUAACUACGUG